rnacentral:ncRNA from 1 species
UAAAGGUUGGGUCCUAGCCUUCCCAUUAGCUAUUAACAAAAUUACACAUGUAAGUCUCCGCGCUCCAGUGAAAAUGCCCUUUGGAUCUUAAAGUGAUCUGAAGGAGCGGGCAUCAAGCACACCCCUCCCCGGUAGCUUAUAACGCCUUGCUCACCCACACCCCCACGGGAUAACAGCAGUGAUAAAAAUUAAGCCAUAAACGAAAGUUUGACUAAGCUAUGUUGAUUAAGGGUUGGUUAAUUUCGUGCCAGCCACCGCGGUUAUACGAUUGACCCAAGUUAAUAGGCCCACGGCGUAAAGCGUGUGAAAGAAAAAAAUUUUUCCCCAUUAAAGUUAAAGUUUAAUCAAGCUGUAAAAAGCUACCAAUAACACUAAAAUAGACUACGAAAGUGACUUUAAUACUCUCAACCACACGACAGCUAAGAUCCAAACUGGGAUUAGAUACCCCACUAUGCUUAGCCUUAAACAUAAAUAAUUUAUCAAACAAAAUUAUUCGCCAGAGAACUACUAGCAACGGCUUAAAACUCAAAGGACUUGGCGGUGCUUUAAACCCCCCUAGAGAGAGCCUGUUCUGUAAUCGAUAAACCCCGAUAGACCUCACCGCCCCUUGCUAAUCCAGUCUAUAUACCGCCAUCUUCAGCAAACCCUCAAAAGGAAAAAGAGUAAGCAUAAUCAUCUUGCAUAAAAAAGUUAGGUCAAGGUGUAACCCAUGGGAUGGGAAGAAAUGGGCUACAUUUUCUAUUCAAGAACAACCUACGAAAGUUUUUAUGAAACUAAAAACUAAAGGUGGAUUUAGUAGUAAACCAAGAAUAGAGAGCUUGGUUGAAUAAGGCAAUGAAGCACGCACACACCGCCCGUCACCCUCCUCAAGUGGCACAAGUCAAAUAUAACCUAUUAAAACCAAAUAAAACGCAAGAGGAGACAAGUCGUAACAAGGUAAGCGUACUGGAAAGUGUGCUUGGAUAAAC